rnacentral:rRNA from 1 species
GUGAGGAAUUUUCCGCAAUGGGCGAAAGCCUGACGGAGCAAUGCCGCGUGAAGGAUGAAGGCCUAUGGGUUGUAAACUUCUUUUCUCAGAAAAGAAUUAUGACGGUAUCUGAGGAAUAAGCAUCGGCUAACUCUGUGCCAGCAGCCGCGGUAAGACAGAGGAUGCAAGCGUUAUCCGGAAUGAUUGGGCGUAAAGCGUCUGUAGGUUGUUUAAAAAGUAUUCUGUCAAAGAUUAGGGCUUAACCCUAGAUAGGCAGAAUAAACUUUUAAGCUAGAGUUUGGUAGAAGCAGAGGGAAUUCCCGGUGGAGCGGUGAAAUGCGUAGAUAUCGGGAGGAACACCAAAGGCGAAGGCACUCUGCUGGGCCAAUACUAACACUGAGAGACGAAAGCGAGGGGAGCAAAUGGGAUUAGAAACCCCGGUAGUCC